UCGAGUCAUUCUGCAGAAAUCUACCUUCGGCGACACAUGGCCCAGAGCCCUGGGGAAGAAGCGAGCAAGGCUGUCCCAUUUCUCUCCUGCCACCACUGUAGGUAAUCGGAUAGUCUCAACAAAACCUAAAAGUCUUCAUUUGGAGCUCUACAGUGAACUCUGGAGAAGUGAAACCAUCUGUCAUAGUGAAAUGAAAUGGAAACUUCCUUGACAGAAAGCACAGAUGGUACACACCGGCCAAAAGACAAACCUGAAACAUCUUAUUCCAAUGAAGAAGUUGCUAUCGUAUCCUGAUGUGAAUGAAGUGACAGUUUUCAGCUUCCUGAAUCUAACGAUGGUUUUCUCUUUUCUUUGUAAUUCCCAGUGCUGUUGGAAGAACAGAGUUCCUGAAGGAUCGGAGGUGAUUCUACUGGCCUUACUGGUGAGGACUCAGAUGUUUAAUACUGGACUCUCUAUAUUUGUUGCGCCCACAAUGGACAAAUUGGCACAGGAUUUUCUGAGUGUUGCUGCAUUAAAAGCAAUAGGACAAAUCUAUUCACUGGCAAAGGAUCAGGCAAACUACUUCAGAAAGAACAAGAGGGGUAUCAAAUUUAUGGCUAAGAUUUCCACGUGAAGCACUGGAGUUUAAGAAGGGAGGCUUAACGAUGCUGACUCAAAGGGCUGCUUGAUCUGCCCUACUUGCUGUGACUGGCAAAAAACCACAGCAGAACCCACAGCACGGACACUUCAACCGGAGCUGGACCUUGAGUCAGGUACUUCUGUGCUUCUCUCCCUUACAUGGGCAAGCUGUUGUUCAUUUUCCCCAUUGUACAAUUGUUGUAACUUCCUGGACUCUGAAAGUUCUUCUUGAGGAAGUCCAGAGAAGCACUAUAGUUUGUUAUUAGCGGACAUAUCUGGGGAACAUUUUAAACUAUACAGAAUUAUCCAGGGCAAAAGCGUAGUUUGUAUCUGCAGGUUCAUGAAGGAUAGGCUUGGCAUAUGGAUUUGUCUCCUCUGUAUCCUGUGAUACAAUGUGCUUUUGCUGCAGAUUUU
rnacentral:lncRNA from 1 species